AUAAAGAAAAAACAGAAACGGGAAUUAUUUUCUCAGUUUUAAUCAAACAUUUGUUCCAAAAGUCCCAUUUACAGAUAAAUCAAAUAAAAAUAUGAUGAAUAUAAAAACAUCAAGCAGUUUUCACCCAAACCUGAGAAUUAAAGACUCUUCAGAGAACAUUCAGAGGCCCAACCGGAACAUCUGGACCUCCUCACUGGAUUUCUGCUUCAGCAUCAGGCUAGAGAGCCCACGACAGUUACCAUGGCAACCAUGGUGGGUGGCCGCCUCCGGAACCGCCUCUAUGUUUCUGCACAUUCACACCCAAAACUGAGGCGUCAGAUCCAAUCAGAGCGUUGGGAAAACCUCCAGCAGGCGACGCUGUCUCAGAAGAGCGACGUCUCACGGAGUAAACAGGUUUUUACAGGUAGUAGUGGGCACCGCGAGCUAAAUGGUUAGCCAUGCUGAGCCAGGUUAGCACUAACAUUACUUCCACUGAUGCUAAAGCGCUACGCCAACAUGGUAUUUAGCUAAGCGUAUUAGCCGAAUGUGCAUAGCUAUUAGCUACGCAUAGCUAAUAGUGCUAAAGUAAAGCUAAAUCGCUAAAGUCAACCCUGUUGAUGCUUUAAGAAGCUGAAAGUUUACCAAGCAGCCAACUAAAUUAUUGCUUCAGAAGUUUACUGGAAAAUUAAAUUCAGGGGAGACUAAAUACACUAAACAUUUUUCAAAAGGUGCUAAGCGAAAUAUUUGCUCCGCUAUUAUCAAAUUAGUGGAAAUGUGCCUACCACUUAAGGGCUCAUCAUUAUUCUUUUCCAUGUCAGGAAUAAAAGGAAAACACUCAAUCUGUUUAGAGAGGGCAGAUCUUGGUAUCGGAUCUGAAGCGGUUGCCGUGGUAACAGAAAUAUGCGCACAGACAGAGAGGCUGCAUGCUGUCGCAGGCUCUUCAGCCAUCUUCAGCUGAGGCUUCAACCGAGCUCAGAUUCAAACCCGUCGCCAUGGAAACGACUGGUCUGAACCAGUAUCUCAAGCAGGACAGAAAGAACCAAAAUGUGAAACGUUUCCUUCCAGAGGAACACGGUAGAACGUGAGCCUCGGUCCGUGGCUAACGAUGAACUGAGUUCAGCUUUUUAGUUACAUUUGAAGUCAUUUAGUUGUAAAUGUCAUCCAGGCAUGAUGCUGCCAAGCCUCUGAUUUCAGAAACAUUCAAUCAUCUUUCUCUGGAAACCAGACAAAAUAUUACAAACUGUCCCUUUAAUCUCAGGUUAUUACAGUCAAACGGCUGCUUUAUGAUUAGAAAACACCCGGCACAUUUAAAACACACUGUAAAAACCUCUCUGUAGAUUUAAGCUCAAAAUAUACAAAAACAUCAAACCAGAGAAUAAAAAUCUUCCAUUUCUUUUCCAAUUUGCCUCCGGUGAGCCGAACGGCUGGAAGGACGAAGACACAGUGAACACGGGUACAAGUCAUGAGUCUCCAAAACAUAAUUCUGAUUUUACUAAUCUCUUCCACGAGGUCGGCGCACGUUUACGAUGAGGCACGAAAACUGCACGAGAAAAGCCAAAGUCACGAGUUUCCACACAUUCAGUUCACAAUCACUAACCCACAGGGCAUGGCAGCGCUCACUGGGCCUAGUCAAAUCAUCCACUUAUUACAACGGCAGACACAGACUUCCCACUGGGAGCCACAUUUAAACACUGGAACCAGUGAAGUCCACUUCCAGUCGCUGGUCGGCUGCUGCAGCAGGUGGAGUUUCCACCGACAGGCAGGAGUGAAGCAGGAAGGCACAGCGGCGCCGAGCGGAGAAACAUGGCCGACAGAGCCCAACGCCAAACCGCUCGCAUCGUUUUCAACAGAGUUGCAGCUUACAUUCAGGUUUUCAAUUUCAACAUUUUCACAUUUCUACAUUUUCAAAAGUUUGCAAAUUUUUAUAU